rnacentral:lncRNA from 1 species
UUCUUAACUCAGCAGCCAAAUUCCUUCUGCAAUUGUCCUGCUCUUAAUGCUCUUGGGAGGGAUGAAAGUGGAAGUGCUGUGCCUGAUGCCAGGGCCCACAAAGCUUCACUUUUGAUCCCUGCUGCUGCUGGUGGCACCUCCUCCCCAUGUGUGUCCUGCUUUGCUGGGAGAGCGAAGGAAUUGUCCUCAGGAAGCUGCGAGACUGUGUUACCUCUGGACCUCACACUUGUCGAUUGUAACUCCUACUUCAGCUUACAUUUAGAGACGUUUCCCACCUUCUCCAGCCCUUCAGCGAGCUCUCCUCCCACCAGCUCAGCUUUGCUGUCAGGUAAGGCUGGAUUGCCACCACACUGCUCGGAUCUCUUACCUCUCCUUCACCAGGGGGUGCAAGUUGGGCAGGUCCUGAGGAUUUCGUGACUGUCAGAGUUGCAAACACGGAAAACUCCACUCUGACGUGUGUGCUUAGAGGAGGCUGCAGCAGGUGGCAAAGAGCUGGGGGGAUAAGUAACAGGGUUUGUUUGUGGGGAUGGAGAGGGAAGGUCUUGUGACAUAGUUUUUGUGACUGCCCUCCUGUGCUAAAAGCCAAGUUAAGGAGAGAAGUGGCUGUGCCUGGAUAUGGAAAAAGAGAUGCUUGCAUUAAGAUGAGCACUAAAGCAGCAAAUAAUCACGAGGAAUGCUGUUGUUCCCUGAAUAGAGACCAAAGGAGUGACUGUGCCUGCUGGUGGCCUCAGAGUUCUGCCUUCAUCUACCUCUUUGUAGGACAGCACAGGUGAGGUGUGUGCCAAGGGCUGGGGGCUCUGCAACCUCUUCCUUCAUGAAUAUAAGAUAAUUCCACCCCAAAAGAGCCAAAGAGGCAGCUGAGCUGGGAUAAAACCGUGUGUGAUGUGGAGAAGAGCAAAGUGGCAAAACCUUUGCAAAAUAGGCUGGAAAAGGUGUGGAGAAGCUGGUGGAGAGAAGUGACUUUCCAGAUAUCCCUGGAGGGUUUAUUUCUCCAGCACUGGAAAGCCAGGUUACAAGCAGAGGAAAUAUUUUGUCAGGGAUAACUGUAGAGGCUUUUCUCUGGAUUUAAAUGCAGGAUAAGAAAAAAAGCUAUGUUCAAGAGUGUGCAGUACAGUUGUAUCAAAUCAGAAAGAAGAUUUUAGAAUGAAAGGGAUUUAAGUGUUUUAGUUUUUCUUUUUUUUUUAUACUUAAUAAUGAGGUGAGAAGCAUUCCCUCAGCUGUCUGGUGAGACAGGAGGAACAAACCCUGUCUGGGUGCAUGCAACAGAUCAUCACCAUGGGGUUUUGGGGGAAUGUUUCUGCCUUCUCCUGCAUUGAGGGGAAUCCUGGUACCUCCACUGCUCUGUGCUCCCCUGGCUUGGGACUUCCCCUGGCAAGGACCACUGCAGCUGCUUCACAGAGCCCCCUCCUCCUUCCUA